rnacentral:rRNA from 1 species
UACGUAGGGGGCAAGCGUUGUCCGGAAUUAUUGGGCGUAAAGAGCUCGUAGGUGGCCUGUCGCGUCGGCUGUGAAAACUCGGGGCUCAACUCCGAGCUUGCAGUCGAUACGGGCAGGCUAGAGUUCGGCAGGGGAGACUGGAAUUCCUGGUGUAGCGGUGAAAUGCGCAGAUAUCAGGAGGAACACCGGUGGCGAAGGCGGGUCUCUGGGCCGAAACUGACGCUGAGGAGCGAAAGCGUGGGGAGCAAACAGG